AAUCAUCUUAGUAGGUUGAGGAAAAGAGAAUAAACAAUGAUUCCGAAAGUAGUGGCGAGCGAAAUUGGAACAGCCCAAACCUUAACAUAACCAUACGGUUUAACGGCCAGAGUUAUGAAAGGGGUUGUGAAAUUAGAUAAUUUUUAUGUAUAGCGGUUGAUUACAUCGAAGCCUACUCACUUUUAAGGAACAUAUGCAUGGCCAAGUGGCCACAAGCGUGUCCGAAAAAGUGAGUAGGCUUUUGAUACGACGGUUAUACAUAAAAACCAACAUCGUUAAAUGAGUGGAUAAUGAUAAAAUCCUUUAGAUCAUAGCAGAAGUGUUUGAAUGGCACACCAUAGAAGGUGAGAGUCCUGUACGCGAAAUGGUCUUAGGCAUUAUAUAUCUUUUUUCAAGUAGGACGGGGCACGAGAAACCCUGUUUGAAUCCGGCAGGACCACCUGCCAAGGCUAAAUAUAUUGAUUGAUCGAUAGCGAACUAGUACAGUGAUGGAAAGGUGAAAAGAACCCCGGGAGGGGAGUGAAAUAGAUCCUGAAACUUAGUGCCUACAAGGUGUCGGAGCAGCUUCGGCUGUGACGGCGUGCUUUUUGUAGAACGAUCCAGCGAGUUAAUGUUGUCGGCGAGGCUAAGUCAAAUGAUGGAGCCACAGUGAAAGCGAGCCUUAACAGGGCGAAUAGUCGGCAGUAUUAGACCCGAAACCGGGUGACCUAACCAUGAGCAGGUUGAAGCUGCGGUAACACGCAGUGGAGGACCGAACCAGGGUACGCAGUAAAGUGCUUGGAUGACUUGUGGUUAGCGGUGAAAUGCCAAUCGAACUCGGAGAUAGCUGGUUCUCCUCGAAAUAGCUUUAGGGCUAGCGUUGUGUUAGUAAUCAUCAGGGGUAGAGCUCUGAAAAGGUUUGGGGCCGGCAACGGUACCCACCCUUAUCAAACUACGAAUACUGGUGGUGUAACCACAGCAGUCAGAACGGCGGGGCUAAGCUCGUCGCUCAAAAGGGAAACAGCCCAGAUCAUCGUCUAAGGUCCCCAAUUAACACUAAGUGGGAAACAAAGUGAAAUUUCUUAAACAGCUAGGAUGUUGGCUUAGAAGCAGCCAUUCAUUUAAAGAGUGCGUAACAGCUCACUAGUCAAGAGAUUUUGCGUGGAAAAUGUAACGGGGCUAAAGUGUUAAACCGAAGACAUGGACUUCUGCCUAUGCAGGAGUGGUAGAGGAGCGUUGAUAUCGCAGUGAAGUCAGAUUGGAAAGUCUGGUGGAGCGUUAUCAAGUGAGAAUGCUGGAAUUAGUAACCUUAAGACAGGUGAGAAUCCUGUCGGUCGUAAGAGCAAGGUUUCCAGGGCCACAGUAAUUGCCCCUGGGUUAGUCGGUCCUAAGCCGAGGCGUAUCAGCGUAGGCGAUGGACAACAGGUUAAUAUUCCUGUACAGGUAGUAGUUGUAAACAGUUCACGGCGAAUGACCGGAGCGGAUUAAUGGUUUAUCCGUCCAAGUCUUUAGGGAACUAAAGAUGAGUGAAAGGUAAUCUUCGGAUUAUUGAUUCUGGGUGAAGCGCUGGCUAGAAAAGCUGGUUUACUUAUGCUGCUGCCUACCGUACCGCAAACCAACACCGGUGCUCGGGUCGAGUAGACCAAGACCUACGUGAGAACCUUCGCUAAGGAACUCGGCAAAAAAGCGUCCGUAACUUCGGAAUAAGGACUGCCCUCUCAUUAAGAUGAGGAUUUGCUAGGAACUCAGCAGAAGAUUCAGAUUAUGUUACAUAUUUACUAUAAAUUUGUUUUUUCGAGACCAUAAGCUUGGCCGAACGGCCUUGAGUGCGUCAAGAAAAACAACGAAUUUUAGUUAUUUACCUUUAACUGAAUUUUUUCGUUGAGACGGAACACAAAAUCAGGAUUUGUUUUAACAAAUUCGUGUCUUUUCUAGUAGUCUAAUCGUCAUUUUGAUGAGAGGGCCGCAGCUAAAGAGCCCACGGAACUGUUUACCAAAAACAUAGGUCUCUGCUAACGCGAAAGCGGAUGUAUAGGGGCUGACUCCUGCCCGGUGUCGGAAGGUUAAGGGGAGAGCUUUACGGUUCGAACUGAAGCCCCGAUGAACGGCGGCGAUAACUAUGAUCGUCCUAAGGUAGCGAAAUUCCUUGUCUGGUAAGUUCAGACCCGCACGAAUGGAGUAAUCAUGUGGGCACUGUCUCGGCGAAGGCCACGGUGAACGUGCAUUGGCGGUAAAGAUGCCGUCUGAUCAUGCCAGGACGAGAAGACCCCAUGGAGCUUUACUACAACUUUGCAUUGAUUAUUGGGACAUUUUGUGUAGAAUAGGUGGAAGACUUUGAAGCAGAUACGCUAGUAUUUGUGGAGUCGAAAUGUGAAAUACCACCCUGAAUGUUUUAGUAAUCUCACUUUUGACCUGAUCGGCCAAAAGGACCGUGCAUGGCGGGUAGUUUAACUGGGGCGGUUGCCUCCUAAAGAGUAGCGGAGGCGUUCAAAGGU
rnacentral:rRNA from 1 species